CCUACGGGUGGCAGCAGUGGGGAAUAUUGGGCAAUGGGCGCAAGCCUGACCCAGCAACGCCGCGUGAAGGAAGAAGGCUUUCGGGUUGUAAACUUCUUUUGUCAGGGACGAAGCAAGUGACGGUACCUGACGAAUAAGCCACGGCUAACUACGUGCUAGCAGCCGCGGUAAUACGUAGGUGGCAAGCGUUAUCCGGAUUUACUGGGUGCAAAGGGCGGGAAGGCGGGGAAGCAAGUCCGAUGUGAAAACCACGGGCUCAACCUGUGAACUGCAUUUGAAACUGUUUUUCUUGAGGGCUGGAGAGGCGGUCGGAAUUCCGAGUGUAGCAGUGAAAUGCGUAGAUAUACGGAGGAACACCAGUGGCGAAGGCGGAUUGCUGGACAGUAACUGACGCUGAGGCGCGAAAGCGUGGGGAGCAAACAGGAUUAGAUACCCCUGUAGUC
rnacentral:rRNA from 1 species